CGUCACCUCCUCUAUGGACAAUCAGAGAAAGAGAGCCGGGCGCGGUGGCUCACGCCUGUAAUUCCAGCACUUUGGGAGGCCCAGGCGGGCAGAUCACGAGGUCAGGAGAUUGAGACCAUCCUGGCUAACAAGGAUUUUACUCCAUACCGUCAAGUCCCUUUUCUCAUACCCAGAUUCUUCCACCACUGAGGCUCCCAUGGAGAAGAGCCUUCUGAGCAUCCCACCCAACCAGUGUUUAUCAGAUGUGUCUCAGUCUCAUCUGAAGACAGUCCCAAGAUAGCACCACAGGACAAUAAAGAGAGCUGAUUGUUUAUUGAGCUCCUGCUAUGGGCAA